rnacentral:rRNA from 1 species
AAUCAACGCUGGCGGCGUGCCUCAGACAUGCAAGUCGAACGAUUAAGACUCUCUUCGGAGAGUGUAUAAAGUGGCGCACGGGUGAGUAACACGUAGGUAAUGUACCGAAGGGUGGGGAAUAACUUAGGGAAACUUAAGCUAAUACCGCAUAAUGCAGCGGCUCGACAUCGAGACAGUUGUUAAAGGAGCAAUCCGCCUUUUGAGCAGCCUGCGGCAGAUUAGCUAGUUGGUAAGGUAAUGGCUUACCAAGGCUACGAUCUGUAACCGACCUGAGAGGGUGGUCGGUCACACUGACACUGAAUAACGGGUCAGACUCCUACGGAGGCAGCAGUCGGGAAUUUUGGGCAAUGGGCGAAAGCCUGACCCAGCAACGCCGCGUGAAGGAUGAAGUAUUUCGGUAUGUAAACUUCGUAAGAAUAGGAAGAAUAAAUGACGGUACUAUUUGUAAGGUCCGGCUAACUACGUGCCAGCAGCCGC